UAUGGACGGCCCCUUUUUUGUAUUUUUUUCAUUCCUUAUCGUCUUUAUCACUUGGAAAUCCUUAUCCUUUAUGUAGAUAAAAGAAGAGCAAUUUAAAGAAAAUGGCGUUUGGCUUGAGUAGGUACUCUAGUUUGAGUUUAAAAGAUUCCGUCUUGGCCCGAAAGGCUAGGCUUGAAAGAAAAUCCCUCCGCAGGUGCGGAAUGCGGAGAGUCUGCAGAAAGGAAACUUCGAUGCUCCCGACAAAGAUUAGAGUACCUAUAUACAGAGAGUAUGGCCACUGGAGUUACCACCUCUGAUUGGCUCAGCCAUCUUAGGCUCCAUGGAGCCCUUAGGACCCAAAAAUGGCGGACGCCGAGAAUUAAUAUAAUGCAAAAUGACUCAAAAUGUAGUUGUCUUGGCUUAUCGUAACGAGAAAUUUACCCAAAUGCACUAUUGCGACCUCGUUACACAUUUUUAAGGCUAAUCGUGUGCAAUUUUCGAGAAAAAAUUAUCUUAGAUGCAGUAAGGUUGGCAGUGAGUGCGGUUGGUGAUAACCGUCAAAAGUUGGCAAUGACCCCCCUCCCAUCCACAAAAACCAAAACAAAGCACCGCCAUUUUUGGGUCCUAAGCCUCUCCAUGGGACCCAGUGGCCAUACUCUCUGUAUAUAGGUACUCUAACAAAGAUUACUAAGCUCCCGACUGCGCACCAGACAAUGGUUUUCGAUGGAAAUUUGAUUUCUAACUAUUUCUAACCUCAAAAUUGUGUUGUUUAUUUACAAAUUUAUCUGGCCUUACAAAAGAAACCAAAAAAAUGUAUUUAUAAUGUUUCCCGUUCUAUAUACUAUGCAGUUAUACUUGAGCCUUUAUAAUGUUUAGUCUAACGUCAUGAACUGUUCGCCAAGGUGCAGCUCUAUUUAGGUGAAGUGAAAUUAAAACCUGAAGUGUUAGUUACAUCAUUCUCACCAUGGAUCGAAUGGACCAUUACCGAAUGAAAUCAUCCAGAAACAGACCAUCUCAUGGCUCUUCCCUGGAAAAGAUAAUGGAUAAACGCAGAAAGGAGAGGGAAGAAAUCAAUCUAAUCGGUGUGCCUCAGGUUUGGGGUAAAUCACCCCUGCGCACAGUAGAAUCAGACGAUGAAGUUAAACCUGAAGAAAGUCUAAAACGGAAACAUUCAGAGUUAGAUAAUAAGAAAAAGAAGAAGAAGAGUAAAUCUACCAAGCAUAAAAAGGAAAAAUCCAAAGGAAAGGAAAAGGUAACUUUACAGCUUUUAACUUUUAAUCCUUCAUAUUUAUUAGGUGAAACUUUAGUCGAU
rnacentral:lncRNA from 1 species